GAUCCCCCUCCUCUGCACCUUGUUUGAGAAGGAGGACUUCAUGGGAUUGGACACAGACAGCAGGUGCCCUCACCUCCAGUGACAUCCAUCCAGACACCAGCACUGACACUGGCCGUGCUCAGAACUGCCUCAGCCCUGAAGACACAACUGACAAAUAGAAGGGGGCCACGCCCUGUUACAGCAGGUGCUCUCACUUAGUGGGUCCUUAUGUAACUGUGCGGUGUUAAUCAGGAUCGCCCGUUCUACAUUACAUGACUCUGCUGCGGUGUCUCCUAGUUACUUGUUUCUGUAUGUACUCGUGUAUUUUC